UAUGUAAUCUUCGUUCGGAGGGUCGGC
rnacentral:piRNA from 1 species